GAAAAUAUACUCUCAAGACUCAAGAGGAACACCAAGCCUUCCUAAGGCUAAAAGAUGGCCUAUUUUGAAUUUUGAGAUGCAGGUGUUAAUUGCAACUACUUAUGUGAUGUAUCGCGUUGGCGGCGUUGCCCUAGAAUAUUACAAGCUAACUUGGCUUGUACGUAUACGUAUCAAUGAAUAUGUUGCACUACACUCACUCUUCAUUGUACGAUUCAUCCAAUUGGGAUUUGCUAAAAGGAGCUCAAGCUACUACAAAUAUAAAUCAUAUGCAAUGGAGGCAAUCAAAAUCUAUCAAGCCAUUAUUAGGGGAAUGUUGUCAAUUUAACGAUGAUCUAGAUAAUUCAUAAUGCAAAUUGGAAGGAUUCAAACGAGUGCGUCUAUAGGAGAAAGAUCAAUAAGCAAUCUUAAGAUAAAUGUGUCUUUUGGUACGAAAACAAGAUCUAAAAGGUGAAUACCAAAGAUUAUUUGCUUGGGAUAUAUUAAAUGAUUUAGCAUGAGUCGUGUUAAGUAUUUUCACUCGAGGUUUGAACAUUUAACGUAUAAAGUUUAAACUCUAAUGACUCGAGUUGAAUAUUUAAGCUAU